UGCAGUCGACGAACUCUGGUAUUGAUUGGUGCUUGCAUCAUGAUUUACAUUUGAGUGAGUGGCGAACUGGUGAGUAACACGUGGGAAACCUGCCCAGAAGCGGGGGAUAACACCUGGAAACAGAUGCUAAUACCGCAUAACAACUUGGACCGCAUGGUCCGAGUUUGAAAGAUGGCUUCGGCUAUCACUUUUGGAUGGUCCCGCGGCGUAUUAGCUAGAUGGUGGGGUAACGGCUCACCAUGGCAAUGAUACGUAGCCGACCUGAGAGGGUAAUCGGCCACAUUGGGACUGAGACACGGCCCAAACUCCUACGGGAGGCAGCAGUAGGGAAUCUUCCACAAUGGACGAAAGUCUGAUGGAGCAACGCCGCGUGAGUGAAGAAGGGUUUCGGCUCGUAAAACUCUGUUGUUAAAGAAGAACAUAUCUGAGAGUAACUGUUCAGGUAUUGACGGUAUUUAACCAGAAAGCCACGGCUAACUACGUGCCAGCAGCCGCGGUAAUACGUAGGUGGCAAGCGUUGUCCGGAUUUAUUGGGCGUAAAGCGAGCGCAGGCGGUUUUUUAAGUCUGAUGUGAAAGCCUUCGGCUCAACCGAAGAAGUGCAUCGGAAACUGGGAAACUUGAGUGCAGAAGAGGACAGUGGAACUCCAUGUGUAGCGGUGAAAUGCGUAGAUAUAUGGAAGAACACCAGUGGCGAAGGCGGCUGUCUGGUCUGUAACUGACGCUGAGGCUCGAAAGUAUGGGUAGCAAACAGGAUUAGAUACCCUGGUAGUCCAUACCGUAAACGAUGAAUGCUAAGUGUUGGAGGGUUUCCGCCCUUCAGUGCUGCAGCUAACGCAUUAAGCAUUCCGCCUGGGGAGUACGGCCGCAAGGCUGAAACUCAAAGGAAUUGACGGGGGCCCGCACAAGCGGUGGAGCAUGUGGUUUAAUUCGAAGCUACGCGAAGAACCUUACCAGGUCUUGACAUACUAUGCAAAUCUAAGAGAUUAGACGUUCCCUUCGGGGACAUGGAUACAGGUGGUGCAUGGUUGUCGUCAGCUCGUGUCGUGAGAUGUUGGGUUAAGUCCCGCAACGAGCGCAACCCUUAUUAUCAGUUGCCAGCAUUAAGUUGGGCACUCUGGUGAGACUGCCGGUGACAAACCGGAGGAAGGUGGGGAUGACGUCAAAUCAUCAUGCCCCUUAUGACCUGGGCUACACACGUGCUACAAUGGAUGGUACAACGAGUUGCGAACUCGCGAGAGUAAGCUAAUCUCUUAAAGCCAUUCUCAGUUCGGAUUGUAGGCUGCAACUCGCCUACAUGAAGUCGGAAUCGCUAGUAAUCGCGGAUCAGCAUGCCGCGGUGAAUACGUUCCCGGGCCUUGUACACACCGCCCGUCACACCAUGAGAGUUUGUAACACCCAAAGUCGGUGGGGUAACCUUUUAGGAACCAGCCGCCUAAG
rnacentral:rRNA from 2 species